rnacentral:rRNA from 1 species
CACAUGCAAGUCGAGCGGUAACAGAGAGUAGCUUGCUACUUUGCUGACGAGCGGCGGACGGGUGAGUAAUGCUUGGGAACAUGCCUUGAGGUGGGGGACAACAGUUGGAAACGACUGCUAAUACCGCAUAAUGUCUACGGACCAAAGAGGGCUUCGGCUCUCGCCUUUAGAUUGGCCCAAGUGGGAUUAGCUAGUUGGUGAGGUAAUGGCUCACCAAGGCGACGAUCCCUAGCUGGUUUGAGAGGAUGAUCAGCCACACUGGGACUGAGACACGGCCCAGACUCCUACGGGAGGCAGCAGUGGGGAAUAUUGCACAAUGGGCGCAAGCCUGAUGCAGCCAUGCCGCGUGUGUGAAGAAGGCCUUCGGGUUGUAAAGCACUUUCAGUCAGGAGGAAAGGUUAGUAGUUAAUACCUGCUAGCUGUGACGUUACUGACAGAAGAAGCACCGGCUAACUCCGUGCCAGCAGCCGCGGUAAUACGGAGGGUGCGAGCGUUAAUCGGAAUUACUGGGCGUAAAGCGUACGCAGGCGGUUUGUUAAGCGAGAUGUGAAAGCCCCGGGCUCAACCUGGGAACUGCAUUUCGAACUGGCAAACUAGAGUGUGAUAGAGGGUGGUAGAAUUUCAGGUGUAGCGGUGAAAUGCGUAGAGAUCUGAAGGAAUACCGAUGGCGAAGGCAGCCACCUGGGUCAACACUGACGCUCAUGUACGAAAGCGUGGGGAGCAAACGGGAUUAGAUACCCCGGUAGUCCACGCCGUAAACGAUGUCUACUAGAAGCUCGGAGCCUCGGUUCUGUUUUUCAAAGCUAACGCAUUAAGUAGACCGCCUGGGGAGUACGGCCGCAAGGUUAAAACUCAAAUGAAUUGACGGGGGCCCGCACAAGCGGUGGAGCAUGUGGUUUAAUUCGAUGCAACGCGAAGAACCUUACCUACACUUGACAUACAGAGAACUUACCAGAGAUGGUUUGGUGCCUUCGGGAACUCUGAUACAGGUGCUGCAUGGCUGUCGUCA